GCGCCUGUAGCUCAAUGGAUAGAGCGUCGGACUUCGGAUCCGAUGGUUGCGGGUUCAAGUCCUGCCAGGCGCG
rfam:Thermotoga sp. 50_1627 MPF_scaffold_336, whole genome shotgun sequence.